GGUUCCUACGGGGCGCAGCAGUGGGGAAUAUUGGACAAUGGGGGGAACCCUGAUCCAGCGACGCCGCGUGAGUGAAGAAGUAUUUCGGUAUGUAAAGCUCUAUCAGCAGGGAAGAAGAAAUGACGGUACCUGACUAAGAAGCCCCGGCUAACUACGUGCCAGCAGCCGCGGUAAUACGUAGGGGGCAAGCGUUAUCCGGAUUUACUGGGUGUAAAGGGUGCGUAGGUGGCAUGGCAAGUCAGAAGUGAAAGCCCGGGGCUCAACCCCGCGGACUGCUUUUGAAACUGUCAGGCUGGAGUACAGGA
rnacentral:rRNA from 1 species